AUAAUUUUGAAUGAGACAUUAUUUGUACUUGCGUUCAUAUAGCGUGACCCCGGGGGCAGCUUAUGUCUGAGGUCAACUGUAACAAAAAAUACGAAAAGUCUUUCAACGGGAGAUAAUUAUAAUAGAUAGUAGAUAUACCAUAUAUAGAGCGGUAUAUACUGGUAUGUAGCCUAGACUUGAAGCGUUAUAACAAAAGAUCGUCGACGCGUGUGCUAGUAGCGUAUGUGGCUUACACAGUUUGUCAUUAUAUACACCUUCACUGUCAUCGAUGGUAGUAGUUAUACUAGUGAUAUAGUACACCUGGGAUUUUAGAUUUUUGUUGGAUUUUACCUGUUUUUACCUUACAGCCAUGUUAUCGUUCAGUCAAGCUGAUAACUGUCCACGAUGUCAUAAACAUGUGUUUUUUGCGGAUGAACUUCUUGCUAUGGGGAAGAAAUGGCAUCUUGACUGUUUUACAUGCAGUAAAUGUAAGAAAGCCAUAGAUCAGACAGGCUUUAGUAACCAUGGAGCUGCUUACACAAUAGAAUCAAAUGACGUCAUAUGUUGUUCACAGUGUUCCGGUAAUACAUUAACAAAUGGGAGUGGAUCAAAUAUAGCUCUAACUGUGGGUAAAUCUUUAGAUGAAGAAGAUGAUACGGGAUAUAGGUGUACAAAAUGUAAGAAAGUCAUCAUCAACAAUACUAUAUUAAAGACAUCACCCUCAAAAGACAGAAUGUGUUCCGAAUGCUGCACGUGAGAAAUGGCCGCGACAUGUUGCUAGGCGACGUGUAUGAAAAUUCGAGGGAGGACUUAUCAUAAUGGACAUUUUAUUAAACAUUUUUAUGUGUACAAAAUAGUUUAUGAAUCUAUACUAAUAUUUGUGACUGUCGUAUUUUUGUCUGUUCAGGGUAGCUACACUAGGGAUGUCCCGAGGCUGAAAUUUGAUGUAUAUGGGUAGCUCGGACAGGUGUAGCACUAUGCAGCGCUAUGCGUCGCUUGUUAGAUGUGGAAAGCUAAAACACAUGGAAACUCCCCACAGCCGACGUGUGACGCAUACUCUCUUCUGUAUUUUAAUAACCUUGUGAUCGUCUAGUAUUGUCUCUGGUUAUAUUCCCUUCUUAUGGCUAGGACUCACGUUGUGUAUAUAUUUUUUAUCUCAAAAGUAAAGACGUGUGUCUACGAGGCACGACAAUGCUACAGUUGUUUCUACAUUUUAUAUCAAGCCUGGAUACAUAGGUUACAAACCAUAGGUUACAAGCCAUAGGUUACAUUACAAUAUUUAAAAUUAACAUUAUCCUUCUCUCAAUCCCGAACUCACAGAUCGAGUUUACUGACAGAACACGCUACAUCGUAUGGCUCUCCUACGAAUCAAUGGGGUCUACUCAAUCCAGAUGGUGUCUCUUGAACCUCGGCGGUAUGUCUCUCUCUCUCUCUCUCUCUCUCUCUCUCUCUCUCUCUCUCUCUCAACGCAUGUCUCCUCUCUAAGAAUUUAGCGACUGUCUACCUAUCGCUCAGAGCUCUGAUGGUUUUCUACCCUUGGCUUUCGACUUUAAAUUAUCUUAUUGGUCAGAUAUGACGGAAUUGAUUAUAAUGAUUGGUUACUAAACCAACUGAUGCAACAGUAAUUUUCCUACCAUAAGUGAUCUGGUGAUAUUUGUUUUCACACCGAACUAGUUAUGUUUUGGUG